rnacentral:rRNA from 1 species
GUCUAAGUAUAAGCAACUAUACGGUGAAACUGCGAAUGGCUCAUUAAAUCAGUUAUCGUUUAUUUGAUAGUACCUUACUACAUGGAUAACCGUGGUAAUUCUAGAGCUAAUACAUGCUAAAAACCUCGACUUCGGAAGGGGUGUAUUUAUUAGAUAAAAAACCAAUGCCCUUCGGGGCUCCUUGGUGAAUCAUAAUAACUUAACGAAUCGCAUGGCCUUGCGCCGGCGAUGGUUCAUUCAAAUUUCUGCCCUAUCAACUUUCGAUGGUAGGAUAGUGGCCUACCAUGGUAUCAACGGGUAACGGGGAAUUAGGGUUCGACUCCGGAGAGGGAGCCUGAGAAACGGCUACCACAUCCAAGGAAGGCAGCAGGCGCGCAAAUUACCCAAUCCCGACACGGGGAGGUAGUGACAAUAAAUACUGAUACAGGGCUCUUUUGGGUCUUGUAAUUGGAAUGAGUACAAUUUAAAUCCCUUAACGAGGAACAAUUGGAGGGCAAGU